GACGAAGGGGGCUAGCGUUGUUCGGAAUUACUGGGCGUAAAGAGUGUGUAGGCGGUGUUCUAAGUUUGUCGUGAAAUCUCCCGGCUUAACUGGGAGGGUGCGGCGAAAACUGGAAUGCUAGAGGAUGGGAGAGGUAAGCGGAAUUCCUGGUGUAGCGGUGAAAUGCGUAGAUAUCAGGAGGAACACCUGUGGUGUAGACAGCUUACUGGACCAUUUCUGACGCUGAGACACGAAAGCGUGGGUAGCAAACAGG
rnacentral:rRNA from 1 species